UGAACGCUAGCUACAGGCUUAACACAUGCAAGUCAGGGGCAUCGCGGUGUAGCAAUACACUGGCGGCGACCGGCGCACGGGUGAGUAACACGUAUCCAACCUGCCCUCAGCUCGGGGAUAGCCCUCUGAAAGGAGGAUUAAUACCCGAUGUGGUUGUUCGCAGACAUCUGCGUAUAAUUAAAGAUUUAUCGGCUGAUGAUGGGGAUGCGUAUGAUUAGCUUGUUGGCGGGUAACGGCCCACCAAGGCGACGAUCAUUAGGGGUUCUGAGAGGAAGGUCCCCCACAUAGGAACUGAGACACGGUCCUAACUCCUACGGGAGGCAGCAGUGAGGAAUAUUGGUCAAUGGCCGUAAGGCUGAACCAGCCAAGUAGCGUGAAGGAUGACUGCCCUACGGGUUGUAAACUUCUUUUAUGGGAGAAUAAAGUCGAGGCCACGUGUGCCUUUUGCAGGUAUCCCAUGAAUAAGCAUCGGCUAAUUCCGUGCC
rnacentral:rRNA from 1 species